rnacentral:lncRNA from 1 species
UGAAUGAGAGGUGGUAAAUGGGUAUAUAUAUAGGCAUCUCCAAAAAUCCAACAUUUACACCAUUAUUCCCCAGCUCGAUGAAACAGAAGUGAAUCUCGGUGGCACCGAUUUGCACAAAAUGUAGCACUUUCGAAUUCUCGAUGAGACUGAUACAUGAAUCUCAGUGGUUUGAAUCUUUUUGUACUGUUUUUAAAUUAUGUGUUAAUUAGAAUAUUUUCAAAAAUUGGAACUGGAGAGUGGAGUAAAACUUUCAAAAGUUUUGGAGUGCAACCUACCUCUCUACACUUGGAAGGCAAGCAUCGUGAACUUGGAUAUAAUAUGGUUGUGUGUGAAUUAUUGUGAUGGAGGAAUAUUACCUUUAUGUUAGAACAAGUAAUGAUAUUUCAUGUGGUGAUAUGAUCAUGCACAUGAGUACAUGUUGAGAAAUUGAUUCUCUUGCGUAUUGAGAUGCAUGUGAUAGUAGUUAUUCCUUUCUGCCACACAUGCCUACUGGAUGGGAUCCGAGAAGAGUCAGUGUCUCGGAAAGACACGACCUUGGGGACUGACAUCUUGUAGGACGAGGAGGGUGAGCGAGGAAUGUUGGCGGUAUGAAAGGUGGUGAUUCUGUCUCGUUUUGUGAAAAAAUGUUGUGCUAAUCAUGCAGGGAAUAACUUAAACCUCCUAAGUAGACCAUAGAUCGAGUCUUGUUAGUAUGUCACUUACUCUUUCAUGCUGUCACAAGUCUUCCUGAAAGGGAAUACAAUUCAGUAAGUCGUAAACCUAUUAUCAGGUACACACCAAGUAGAGGGUCUAGAAUGAAGGUAUCCGGGGCACUGGAAUAAAACCAGUCAUCCGGUCAGGGGGCAUGGGUGUUUCCGGUCUAGGAUCGAGAGGGGAAGAGCUCUCAUCUUGUAGCGCGCGGUAUAAAUUCGAUCUCAUGCUAGUCGAGGUUGGAGCCUUCCCGUCUUAUGGUUUUUCCCUCGCAGCAUAGUCCGAGUGAUACUGGUCUUCGCGGGGGGAAAUGGGUGUGUGCUGGUUCUGAGUGUUUAGUUCUGAGAUACCAUACACGGGAUUAGUCGAAGUGACUGUUGAAACCCGUGGGCUGUGGGUAAAGAGUACCCCCUCUGUAGAGUCAAAAAUAUUCGAGUAGCCGUGUCCACGGUCAAGGACGACUGAUUGAGAAGUCAAGUGUCGGUCUGAGUGUCGGUCUUCGGAGGAAGUUAACUUAACCAUGAGAAAACAGUGAAAUAUGGUGGAUGAUCAUAAUUAUUAUUUUAUCAUGGACUAACCUUUAUGAUACAUGAAUGUUGAAUAUCCCUCGGUUGGUUCUACCUCAUGGAUAUUCAUUGUUAUUAUUUCAUAUAAGCUCUUUAUGUGUUGUCGCUCAGAUGCCCGACUGCGACAUCCUUGUUAUUAUUUCAUAUAAGCCCUUUAUGCGGUGUCUCUCAAACGCCCGACUGCGGCAUGUUUGUUAUUAUUUCAUAUAAGCCCUUUAUGUGGUGUCGCACAGACGCCCGACUACGGCAUGCUUGUUAUUAUUUCACAUAAGCCCUUUAUGCAGUGUCGCUCAAACGCCCGACUACAGCAUGCUUGUUAUUAUUUCAUAUAAGCCCUUUAUGUGGUGUCACUGAGAUGCUGGACUGAGGCAUGCUUUAUAUCUUAUCCUUUCGAGGUGUCGCUCUAGACACCCGAUCGGACUAUUUUCCUGUUCUUGGAAAUAUUCGGGAGGACUACCGCCCGAUGUUCCAAUAAAUAUUUCUUUCAUUGAUUGCUUACUAAAUUCUCAGUAUGGUUAAAAUAUAUGUCUCCUCACACUUAAGAAGUUGGGUUAUGACUAACGAAAUAUCAUUGAAUCAUUUCAAGUGCAUAUUAACCACCAGCUGUUUUAUGUCUGAUUUCAUUAUGUUUGCGAGUACAUUCAAAGUACUCAACGGCAUGUCCCUGGCUAUUGUCUUGGCCAGAUUGCACACCUGGAGAGGAGCAUCCCGACAGUAGCCCUAGAACCUAGGCCCGAAGAUAGCAGCCGCGUGAGAUAGGAAU